rnacentral:lncRNA from 12 species
GCUAUAUAGACAAUUUAGUUGGCAAUCCUUUCACUACCUGCUGUGUGUGUUUGUGUCCAGAUGGCCAACAUGCCCAGCAAUUCUUUGGAUCACAGGUGGCGUUGAGAUGCUGAUUCUGCAUGGAAGAUUGUGGGUGGCACCCGCCUGCCCCAGCAGGUAGGCUCUCCAAGUGAACCCCCGACGGUGAGCCCAAACUUUCUCCUGGAGACUACAAAUCCAGAGCCCAAACCCAGAGAACACCCCCCCCCGCCCCUCCCCUGGAUAAAAGAGAAGUUUCGUGACUCAACCUUUUACUGGAGUUUCACGCUUCUAGAGUGGUCUAAGGAAUACGUUGAUUUUGUCCCCAGCGAGACCUUGCAAGAUGGAAAGCAUCUCUUGGCUCCUUCUCUCCACCGGUUCCUGUGUGCUCAGGCACCACAUCUAAAGGCGCCCACUUCCCAAAUGGCUGUGGGGUGGUUUGCUCCUCUCUACCCCGUUUAUUCAAGGCCCUACCAUUUCUCACACAAAUGUCUCCUCGCGAUUUCCUCACCCCAAUCUUCCACGCUGGCCCAAGAAUGAGCCUCCUAUUCCCUAUUCUCCGCGGUCCCGCCUUUGCUUGAGUCGUAUCGAGGGCUCCAAGCUGCAGCCACUAGGCACACGGGCACAGUCUCUCGUGUCCGCCCUGGCUCAUUCCGCCCGCCUCAGCUCCCCUCCCAUAUCCCCGGCAUCUACCAUGAUUCUUGGCUUAUUGCUGGUGCUCAAAUGCUGAACGAGUAAAUAACGUGGAACAGGGUGAGCUGACUCGGUUAUAUGGACUUUAAUAAUUUGUGCUUGGUUAUUUUUAAUUAGCAACGGCAACGACGUGUUUAGGUCACCGUUCAAACCUAUUCAGUUGGACCGUUUGGGUUAUGUUUUCAGAAGCUUUGAAAUGGGUCUUAGGCCUCUGCGUCAGUCAACUGUAGCCACACUAAAUUGUGCGUUCAACACGGAACACUGUAAGCAAGCGCGUAAAUCCUCAAUAGGCAGCCACUAAAAGGUGUUGGAAGCUGGGGGAAAGUGAUAAAAUGGGACGAGGUUUGAAAACAGGGGCAAUACUGUCCAUUUCGAUUGCGGAGACCCUGUUCACAAUGAAAUUCAGGAAUAAAGUCUACAGAUUGGUCCUGGAGUAUUUGGGA